GAACAAUAGAGCAGGGUAGAGGAAAACAAAAGAGCAGGGUAGGGAAAACAAUAGGACAGGAAAGAGGAGAACAAUAGAGCAGGGUAGAGAGGAACAAUAGAGCAGGGUAGAGGAGAACAAUAGAGCAGGCUAGAGGAGAACAAUAGAGCAGGGUAGAGGAGAACAAUAGGACAGGAAAGAGGAGAAAAUAGAACAGGAUAGAGGAGAACAAUAGAACAGAGUAGAGGAGAACAAUAGAACAGGUAGAGGAGAACAAUAGAGCAGGCUAGAGGAGAACAAUAGAACAGGGUAGGGAGAACAAUAGAGCAGGCUAGAGGAGAACAAUAGGACAGGGUAGAGGAGAACAAUAGAACAGAGUAGAGGAGAACAAUAGAACAGGAUAGAGGAGAACAAUAGAACAGAGUAGAGGAGAACAAUAGAACAGGAUAGAGGAGAACAAUAGAGCAGGCUAGAGGAGAACAAUAGGACAGGGUAGAGGAGAACAAUAGAACAGGGUAAAGGAGAACAAUAGGACAGAGUAGAGGAGAACAAUAGAACAGGGUAGAGGAGAACAAUAGAACAGAGUAGAGGAGAACAAUAGAACAGGGUAGAGGAGAACAAUAGAACAGGGUAGAGGAGAACAAUAUGACAGAGUAGAGGAGAACAAUAGAACAGGGUAGAGGCGAACAAUAUAACAGGGUAGAGGAGAACAAUAGGACAGAGUAGAGGAAAACAAUCGAACAGGGUAGAGGAGAACAAUAGAACAGAGUAGAGGAGAACAAUAGAACAGGAUAGAGGAGAACAAUAGAACAGGAUAGAGGAGAACAAUAGAACAGGGUAGAGGCG
rnacentral:lncRNA from 1 species